GAUGAACGCUGGCGGCGUGCUUAACACAUGCAAGUCGAACGAAGCAUAAGAAACGGAUUUCUUCGGAAUGAAAGAUUUUAUGACUGAGUGGCGGACGGGUGAGUAACGCGUGGAUAACCUACCUCAUACAGGGGGAUAACAGUUAGAAAUGACUGCUAAUACCGCAUAAGCGCACAGAACCACAUGGUUCGGUGUGAAAAACUCCGGUGGUAUGAGAUGGAUCCGCGUCUGAUUAGCUAGUUGGUAAGGUAAUGGCUUACCAAGGCGACGAUCAGUAGCCGACCUGAGAGGGUGAUCGGCCACAUUGGGACUGAGACACGGCCCAAACUCCUACGGGAGGCAGCAGUGGGGAAUAUUGCACAAUGGGGGAAACCCUGAUGCAGCGACGCCGCGUGAAGGAUGAAGUGUUUCGGCAUGUAAACUUCUAUCAGCAGGGAAGAAAAUGACGGUACCUGACUAAGAAGCCCCGGCUAACUACGUG
rnacentral:rRNA from 1 species